rnacentral:rRNA from 1 species
UACGUAGGGUGCAAGCGUUUGUCCGGAAUUAUUGGGCGUAAAGAGCUCGUAGGCGGCUUGUUGCGUCGUCCGUGAAAACCUGUGGCUCAACUACAGGCUUGCGGUCGAUACGGGCGGGCUGGAGUUCGGUAGGGGAGACUGGAAUUCCUGGUGUAGCGGUGAAAUGCGCAGAUAUCAGGAGGAACACCGGUGGCGAAGGCGGGUCUCUGGGCCGAUACUGACGCUGAGGAGCGAAAGCGUGGGGAGCGAACAGG